rnacentral:lncRNA from 1 species
AUGUCAUGCUAUUGUAAUAGAAAAAGGGAGAAGGUUUGGAUCCAUUAAAACGUUUAAUCCCGCUGCAAAUGUUUGGACCUGUCCUAAGUCAGGAAUCUGAUGUACAGUAGUUGUCGUUUGUUAAUGUAAUUUAUACGUGUUUCUCGUUUCUCGUUUUUUUAUAUAUAUUAGACCGUUGGUUUUCCCGUUUGAAUGGUUUUAAACUAGUAAUUUUGGGGCUCUUUAUAGCUUGUUGUUCGGUGUGAGCCAAGGCUCCGUGUUGAAGGCCGUACAUUGACCUAUAAUGGUUUACUUUUUUUAAAAUUGUUAUUUGGAUGGAGAGUUGUCUCAUUGGCACUCACACCACAUCUUCCUAUAUCUA